rnacentral:rRNA from 1 species
CAGCUAGGUUCGACGCAGCCUGAUGCAGCACGCCGCGUGCGGGAAGACAGCCCUAGGGUUGUAAACCGCUUUCAGUAGGGAAGAAAAUGACGGUACCUACAGAAGAAGGUGCGGCCAACUACGUGCCAGCAGCCGCGGUGACACGUAGGCACCAAGCGUUAUCCGGAUUUAUUGCGCGUAAAGAGCUCGUAUGCGGUUUAGUAAGUCGGGUGUGAAAACUCUGGGCUCAACCCUGAGACGCCACCCUAUACUGCUAUGACUUGAGUACGGUGGGGGAGCGGGGAACUCCUGGUGUAACGGUAAAAUGCGCAAAUAUCAGGAAAAACACCGGUGGCAAAGGCGCCGCUCUGGGCCGUAACUGACCCUAAGGACCAAAAUGGUGGGUAGCAAACAGGAUUAAAUACCCUGGUAGUCCACGCCGUAAACGUUGGGGACUAGGUGUGGGUGUCUCUAACGAGAUCCGCGCCGUAACUAACGCAUUAUGUGCCCCGCCUGGGGAGUACGGUCGCAAGACUAAAACUCGAAGGAUUGGACGGAGG